rnacentral:rRNA from 1 species
UGCGCAGGCGGUCCUGUGCGUCGGCGCUGAAAGCGCCCGGCUUAACCGGGCGAGGUGCGGCGAUACGAUAGGACUGGAGGCUCGGAGAGGGUGGCGGAACUCCUGGUGUAGUGGUGAAAUGCGUAGAGAUCAGGAAGAACACCCGUGGCGCAAGCGGCCACCUGGCCGAGACCUGACGCUGAGGCACGAGAGCUGGGGAGCGAACC